rnacentral:rRNA from 1 species
UACGAAGGGGGCUAGCGUUGUUCGGAUUUACUGGGCGUAAAGCGCACGUAGGCGGAUUGUUAAGUGAGGGGUGAAAUCCCAGGGCUCAACCCUGGAACUGCCUUUCAUACUGGCAAUCUCGAGUCCGAGAGAGGUGAGUGGAAUUCCGAGUGUAGAGGUGAAAUUCGUAGAUAUUCGGAGGAACACCAGUGGCGAAGGCGGCUCACUGGCUCGGUACUGACGCUGAGGUGCGAAAGCGUGGGGAGCAAACAGG